CCUGAACCUCGAUGUGAAAUACAAACUUUCCGGGUCCUGAACCUCGAUGUGAAAUACAAACUUUCCGGGUCCUGAACCUCGACGUGAAAUAUACGCUUUCCGGGUCCUGUACCUAGAUGUGCAAUCUAAACUUUCCGGGUCCUGAACCUCGAUGUGAAAUCUAAACUUUCCGGGUCCUGUACCUCGACGUGAAAUCAAAACUUUCCGGGUCCUAUAUCUCGACGUGAAAUAUAUGCUUACCAGGUCCUGAACCUCGAUGUGCAAUCUAAACUUUCCGGGUCCUGAACCUCGAUGUGAAAUACAUGCUUUCCGGGUCCUGAACCUUGAUGUGAAAUAUAUGCUUUCCGGGUCCUGAACCUCGAGGUGCAUCUAAACUUUCCGGGUCCUGUACCUCGACGGGAAAUCUAAACUUUCUGGGUCCUGAACCUCAAUGUGCAUCUAAACUUUCCGGGUUCUGUACCUCGACGUGAAAUCUAAAACUUUCCGGGUCCUGAACCUCGACGUGAAAU
rnacentral:lncRNA from 1 species